GACGAACGCUGGCGGCGUGCUUAACACAUGCAAGUCGAACGGAAAGGCCUCUUUCGGGGGGUACUCGAGUGGCGAACGGGUGAGUAACACGUGAGUAACCUGCCCUUGACUUUGGGAUAACUUCAGGAAACUGGGGCUAAUACCGGAUAGGAGCUCCUGCUGCAUGGUGGGGGUUGGAAAGUUUCGGCGGUUGGGGAUGGACUCGCGGCUUAUCAGCUUGUUGGUGGGGUAGUGGCUUACCAAGGCUUUGACGGGUAGCCGGCCUGAGAGGGUGACCGGCCACAUUGGGACUGAGAAACGGCCCAGACUCCUACGGGAGGCAGCAGUGGGGAAUAUUGCACAAUGGGUGGAAGCCUGAUGCAGCAACGCCGUGUGCGGGAUGACGGCCUUCGGGUUGUAAACCGCUUUCGCUCAUGACGAAGCUUUGUGUGACGGUAGUGGGUAAAGAAGCACCGGCUAACUACGUG
rnacentral:rRNA from 1 species